rnacentral:rRNA from 1 species
CAGUCGCCGCGGUAAUACGUAGGGUGCGAGCGUUAAUCGGAAUUACUGGGCGUAAAGCGUGCGCAGGCGGUUAUGCAAGACAGAUGUGAAAUCCCCGGGCUCAACCUGGGAACUGCAUUUGUGACUGCAUGGCUGGAGUGCGGCAGAGGGGGAUGGAAUUCCGCGUGUAGCAGUGAAAUGCGUAGAUAUGCGGAGGAACACCGAUGGCGAAGGCAAUCCCCUGGGCCUGCACUGACGCUCAUGCACGAAAGCGUGGGGAGCAAACAGGAUUAGAUACCCCUGUAGUCCCUGUCUCUUAUAC